UACGAAGGGGGCUAGCGUUGCUCGGAAUCACUGGGCGUAAAGGGUGCGUAGGCGGGUCUUUAAGUCAGGGGUGAAAUCCUGGAGCUCAACUCCAGAACUGCCUUUGAUACUGGGAAGCUCGAGUCCGGAAGAGGUGAGUGGAACUCCGAGUGUAGAGGUGAAAUUCGUAGAUAUUCGGAAGAACACCAGUGGCGAAGGCGGCUCACUGGUCCGGUACUGACGCUGAGAAGCGAAAGCGUGGGGAGCAAACAGG
rnacentral:rRNA from 1 species